AUUGAACGCUGGCGGCAGGCCUAACACAUGCAAGUCGAGCGGCAGCGGAAAGUAGCUUGCUACUUUGCCGGCGAGCGGCGGACGGGUGAGUAAUGUCUGGGAAACUGCCUGAUGGAGGGGGAUAACUACUGGAAACGGUAGCUAAUACCGCAUAACGUCGCAAGACCAAAGAGGGGGACCUUCGGGCCUCUUGCCAUCAGAUGUGCCCAGAUGGGAUUAGCUAGUAGGUGGGGUAACGGCUCACCUAGGCGACGAUCCCUAGCUGGUCUGAGAGGAUGACCAGCCACACUGGAACUGAGACACGGUCCAGACUCCUACGGGAGGCAGCAGUGGGGAAUAUUGCACAAUGGGCGCAAGCCUGAUGCAGCCAUGCCGCGUGUAUGAAGAAGGCCUUCGGGUUGUAAAGUACUUUCAGCGGGGAGGAAGGUGUUGAGGUUAAUAACCGCAGCAAUUGACGUUACCCGCAGAAGAAGCACCGGCUAACUCCGU
rnacentral:rRNA from 1 species